CGUGUAAGUCGUCGGGUAUU
rnacentral:miRNA from 1 species